rnacentral:rRNA from 1 species
UACGUAGGGGGCAAGCGUUGUCCGGAAUUAUUGGGCGUAAAGAGCGCGUAGGCGGUCCGAUAAGUCGGCUGUGAAAGUCAGGGGCUCAACCCUUGAAAGCCGGCCGAUACUGUCGGACUAGAGUCCGGAAGAGGCAAGUGGAAUUCCCGGUGUAGCGGUGAAAUGCGCAGAUAUCGGGAGGAACACCAAUGGCGAAGGCAGCUUGCUGGGACGGUACUGACGCUGAGGUGCGAA